CUAGAAAGUCCCGCGAGCA
rnacentral:tRNA from 2 species